CCCUGCUCCACCCACUGUGUGAACUCCCCUCCUUCCCUCCUGCCCCAAGGACUGCCCGCCCCUUCUAAACUCUACCUCUUUGGGCGGCCUCUCCUCCUCUCUGGGUCGGCCAGCCCUUCCUUUCGAUUGCUUUUUCUCCGUUUCCCAUCCCUUCAUUCUUCGGAUGUGAGCUCUGUGACCCUGAGCUCCCCCAGCUUCCUUUAUAGCGCUGAAAUAGUGCCCCCCAACACUUCCCAUGGACGGUUAUUUCCGAACGCAAUUCAGUUCCUCUCAACACUGUUCUCCAAAGCCUCUUCCUCCCAAGUCUCUAGCAGCGGCUUCCCACCUCUUCUUAAGCUGUUAUGAGAAAGAAAAAUACUAAUUCUUCUUGAUUUGGGCGAGGCAGGAGGAGAGAGCUCGGUUAACAAAUUAGAAACCUGGACAAGGAGUCUUGUAGGUACCUAAGCUCUCUCGCCGAAGUAUUCCGCCCUACUGCAGUUUGUUAACUUUAUUACCUCUUCUCCCCACCUUCCACCUUUCCCAUUUUUUCCUUCCAUUUAAAGAAUUGUUUUGUUUUGUUUUACUGGGUUUGUUGGAAUGCCAGACGGCUGGGAUGCUUUUCUUCCUUACUAAGUCAGUUUUCUUGGACCCUUUUUCUUUAUAAGGGCCUUGCUAAGGUACAAAAGCCCACAGACACCUGCAUUUUGAAGAACUUCAUGGAAAAGGAGGCUCGAGUGGCAAGGUCCAAAGACAGUAAGACCUGACCAGUUGCUCUUUCUCUUUGAACCUUGGGAGAAGCUGAGUAGAGCACACAAAGAAAGGAUCUCCAGCAACCCAGCCAGGCUCUAUAGAAAUAUGAAGGUCAAAUAUUCUGUAUCUCUACCUUCCAAGGCCACUCUCAGAUGGAAUCUUAGAUGAGCCUUCAAAGCCAUAAUAUUCUCGAUAUCCUUUGGUGAUAAAGUAAUAAAAAGGAUCUUCUAAUUUGACUAAAAGUUGUGCUCUGAACAUUAUACCCCUAUAAACUUCUUCAUCUGGGAAGAUCACUUCGGUCCUGAAGUUCAUACUUCAGAACCUUCCUUGCAACAGCCCUCUUCCCUUUGGAUGGCUCCUCUCAGGAUGCCCAUUUCAGGAGCUUGCUGGCCAGCCAUCUCUUCAUUGCCCCCAGGGCAGCUCUUGGGACUUCUCCAUUGGCCACCCUCCAUGAGGAACCUUCCCUUUCUCCAUACCUCCUCCCACUUUCAACUUCCUUUUAUAUGUUGUAUUUCCCUAUUAUAAUAUAAACUUCUUGAGGGUAUAGACUGCCUUCCUUUUCCUUGUAUUUGUACCUCUCGCACCUAACAUGAUUCCUGUCAUAUAACAAGAAUUUAAUGAUUGUUGAUGACUAACUUUUAACAAAAAUAUGGCUAUUAUUAAACAACUUUGCAGGUGGUUUGUGAACUCAAAACAUUUAAAUAUAAUGCUAAUUUAUUUUUUAAGGUCAAUGACAUGAAUUUAUAAAUGUUAUUAAAAAAACUGAAUGACACAAAGUGCUCUCUCUUUCUCUCUAUUUUUUGGACACCAUUAUGACCUUUGAGCUAUCUGUUACCUCUUGCUCUUAUUUUCAUGAUUGAACCACCUAAUUUUUCCAUCACACAUUUUCUGGAUGGAUAUUUUCCCUCCUAAUCAUAAGAACAUAGUUUAGUGCUAUAAAGGAUUUAGGGGCUAUCUAGUUUAAUCUUCUCAUUUUAUAGAUGAAAGAGAGAUCUAUUAGUAAAUAGCAAGGUCAAGAUUUGAAUCCAGGCUCUCUUUCUAAAUCUAGCCUCUUUUCUAUUGUACUCACUGCUUCACGUUUUGUUCAAAUCAUCUCUGAUAAAAUGUUGAAGCUUACUUAUAGCAACCAUCUUUUUGAGCACCCACAGUUUUCAUAUUUCAGGAACUGUAUUAUUAAUGAUUUAUAUCCCUAAAACAUCACUGGAAAAUCUUUUGAAUGAACUCAGUCAAUAAGAUAUGUUAGAUAUCAGGUUGUGGAGAUAAGAGAAAAAAGCAAAAUUGUCUCUGUCCUCUAGGUAUUUGCAUUCUAAUAUGGUAGACAACAGUCAUACAGGUUCAUAAAAUGUAUAAAACACAUAUGAAAGUUAACUUUGCAAGGGAAAGUACUAAUAGCUGGGGGGAUCAGGAAGGAUCUCAUGCAGAAAAUGUUGCUUGAGCCGAGUCUUAAAGGAGCUAGAUGAGAAAGAAGAGCAUUCCUAUCAUAUAGGGAUAGCCAAUGUAAAAGGCAUGGAGAUUGGAGAUAGGAAUUUCAUGUGUGAGGGACAACCAGUAUAGCUUAACUCCAAAAUAUAGGAAGAAGAAUAGUGUGUAAGAACACUGAAAAAGUAGAAGGGGACACAUUUGUAAGAGUUUUUAACAUCAGGUCAAAAAUUUUUAAUUUAAUCCAAAUGGGGAUAAGGAACCUCUGGAGUUUAACGAGUUGGGGGCAUGAUGUACUCAAGCCUGUGCUUCAGGAAAAAUCACUUUGAUGAUAUGUGGUGGAUAGAUUGGAGUGGAGAGAGACGAGGCAGGAAGACCAAUGAGAAGACUAUUAUUGUAGCCCAAAUAAAUGGUAAUGAUAGUCAGUACUAGGAUGGUGGCUGUAUAAAUGGAGAGAAGGAACUGUAUGUAAGCAAUAUUGUGGAGGUAGAAAUGACAUUAAUUGGUAACUGUCUAGACAUGUGGGGAUGGGUGAGGAUGAGGAAUUAAGGGGAAUCGAGAGGAGGGUCCAAGUGAUAGAGACUGAGAAGCAGCCAAACAGGGAGAAGGAGAACUAAGAACAAGUGUCACAAAAACCUAGAGAGAAAAGAAUAUCCAAGAGAAGAUGGUAAUCAGCAGUAUUAAAUGCAACAUGCCAAAAUAUGUUAUGUUAGGGAAUAUUUUGGGAUUAUUCAAAGUGCUGCAAAUGUACUAAAUCCAGUCUAUCUCUUUCUCUUACUCAAUACAGGGUCCAGAAUUGGGAGAACCUGGAUAAGAAAUGAAUAGGAUGAGAAUAUUUGAAGGGUAGUACUGUAUCCCUGGAGAAAUUACCCAUGUAGUUGGAUACCUUGAAGUAAAUGCCAGUUUUAUGCUGUCAUUUGUUGUUGGGUUCUUCUCACUACUCUUCAUGAUCCCAUAUGGAGUUUUUUGGUUUAGGUAUUGGAAUAGUUUACCAUUUUCUUCUUUAGCAUUUCAUGGAGAAAGUGUCUAUUUUUCCCCUUGAUGUAUGCAUGUGUGUGUGUGUGUGUGUGUGUGUGUGUGUGUACAUUAAAUGUAUUUGUAGUGCAUAUAGGCAACAUCUAUUUCAUGAUCUUUUUGACUUAACAAAAAUGAAUAUUAAUGUAUGACGUGAACACAUUCAAUACUGAGUAGUCUCUUCACCUAGAGGUCAGAUGCAGAUUUUUUUUUUUAAUUGCAAGGAGCAUUUUGGACAUUAUAGUUCAAUCUUAAGCACUUACUUUGUAUCAUAUGUUUUUUCAAGAUGAAAAGAUAUUGUAUAAACACUUUAUUCAUUUGGGAGACAUUUAAUUAGUUUCUUUGUUUCAAUAAAAUCAAUAUAUUUUAUAAUUCAUCUUCCAUUUCUAAGAAGAUACAUUAACUGAAUUUUGUAGUUUCUUGUACUGGUUCUUCAUCAUACCAUGAAAUGUGACUAUUCUGUAUUCAGACCUGAGCAUUAUUAAUUUUUUCUCAAUGAAGAGACAGUCUGGUGUAAUAGAAAUAAUAAUGAACCUGGUUCCAAAUCCUGCUAUUGCCACUUAGUAACUCUGUGAUCCCAGGCAAAUCAGUCUUGCCUCAAUUUCUCUGAGCCUUAAUUUUCAUAUUGGCACAAUGGGCAUAAAAAUUUUUAGAGUACCACAUCACUUAGCUGAUGUAAGGUUGAAACUAAUUUACAUUAAAAAGUAUCUUAUUACUAGGGAAAUUCUGGGCUUAUGUUUAUAGGAUUUAGAGCUGUACUGGACCAUCUGUUGUUCAGUCAUUUCAGUCACAUCCAAUUCUUCCUGUUCUGUUGUGGAUUUUCUUGACAAAGGUACUGGAGAGGGGACAGCUAAGUGGUUCAGUGGAUUGAGGGCUAGGCCUAGAGACAAGAGGUGCUAGGUUCAAAUCUUGCCUCGCACACUUCUAAGCUAUAUGACCCUGGGCAAGUCAUUGAAGCCCCCAUUGUCUAGCCCUUACCACUCUUCUGCCUUGUAACCAAUAAAUAGUAUGGAUUAUAAGACAGUAGGUAAGGGUUUAAAAAAAAAAAAGAUAUUGGAGUGGUUUGCCAUUUUCUUUUCCAGCUCAUUAUAGAGAUGAGAAAACUGAGACAAACAGGAUUACCUGCCAUGCCAGGGUUACUCACCUAGAAAGUGUCUGAGGCUGAAUUUGAAUUCAGGCUGGGUGGGGUGGGAGAGACAGAGAGAGAGAGAGAGAGAGAGAGAGAGAGAGCUACUUGCCACACAUUGAGUAGACGGAAAAGAAAGGCAGAGGGCGGUUCAUUCCCUUUUUAAGGUGCACUGAGUCAUUACCUCUUCCUGCUUCAAGGCAAAUAUAGAGAUGGUUUCUUAAAACACAAAGUCUUUCAGUGCCAAGCCACAGGAAUCCUCAGAAGUUACAAAGAGAGUCCUGUAGGCCCAUCUUUGAAUGCUUCCUGGGGUACACAUUUGCUUUGUUAGUUUUCUCUCUCAGGACAAAUAAAUUAUUUCACCUCUUUAAAGCAGUCCUUGAAAGAGAAAGAAAAAUCUUUAUUACUUCAUGUUGUUAAAUAGAAUAUACAUUCCUGCUCUCUUUGCCUCAGAACUGUUUCCUCAUCACAGCAAAAAGAUAGAGCAUGGGACCAGUUCUUGUAAUUAUUGGGAACUUGGUAAAUAUAUUCUGAUGCAAACGAAGACCUAAUUUUUGAUAUCUCUGAGAAGGAGGAGAGAAUAGAAAGAGGACAAGCUAAAUAACUACAUGAAGCCCUCAUUUUUAAAAAAAUUGUUACUCUGUACCGAGAAUAUGUUUUAUACUUUUCAUGCCAUUGAACAAA